AUUGAACGCUGGCGCAGGCCUAACACAUGCAAGUCGAGCGAGACCUUCGGGUCUAGCGCGGACGGGUUAGUAACGCGUGGGAACUGGCCCUUCUCUGCGGAAUAGCCACUGGAAACGGUGAGUAAUACCGCAUACGCCUUCGGGGGAAAGAUUUAUCGGAGAAGGAUCGGCCCGCGUUAGAUUAGAUGUUGGUGGGUAACGGCCUACCAAGUCUACGAUCUAUAGCUGGUUUUAGAGGAUGAUCAGCAACACUGGGACUGAGACACGGCCAGACUCCUACGGGAGGCAGCAGUGGGGAAUCUUAGACAAUGGGCGCAAGCCUGAUCUAGCCAUGCCGCGUGUGUGAUGAAGGUCUUAGGAUCGUAAAGCACUUUCGCCAGGGAUGAUAAUGACAGUACCUGGUAAAGAAACCCCGGCUAACUCCGUG
rnacentral:rRNA from 1 species